rnacentral:rRNA from 1 species
GGUUUAAUUCGAUGAUACGCGAGGAACCUUACCCGGGCUUGAAUUGCAGAGGAAGAAUUUGGAGACAAUGACGCCCCUUCGGGGUCUCUGUGAAGGUGCUGCAUGGUUGUCGUCAGCUCGUGCCGUGAGGUGUCGGCUUAAGUGCCAUAACGAGCGCAACCCCUCUCCUUAGUUGCCAUCAGGUCAAGCUGGGCACUCUGGGGACACUGCCACCGUAAGGUGUGA